ensembl:snRNA U6 U6 spliceosomal RNA
GUGCUUGAUUCUGCAGCACAUAUACUAAAAUUGGAACAAUACACAGAAGAUUAUCAAGGUCCCUGCACAAAGAUGAUGUGCAAAUUUGUGAAGUGUUCCAUAUUAAA